GAUGAACGCUGGCGGCGUGCCUAAUACACGCAAGUCGAGCGAAUGGAUUAAGAGCUUGCUCUUAUGAAGUUAGCGGCGGACGGGUGAGUAACACGUGGGUAACCUGCCCAUAAGACUGGGAUAACUCCGGGAAACCGGGGCUAAUACCGGAUAACAUUUUGAACCGCAUGGUUCGAAAUUGAAAGGCGGCUUCGGCUGUCACUUAUGGAUGGACCCGCGUCGCAUUAGCUAGUUGGUGAGGUAACGGCUCACCAAGGCAACGAUGCGUAGCCGACCUGAGAGGGUGAUCGGCCACACUGGGACUGGUGCACGGCCAAGACUCCUACGGGAGGCAGCAGUAGGGAAUCUUCCGCAAUGGACGAAAGUCUGACGGAGCAACGCCGCGUGAGUGAUGAAGGCUUUCGGGUCGUAAAACUCUGUUGUUAGGGAAGAACAAGUGCUAGUUGAAUAAGCUGGCACCUUGACGGUACCUAACCAGAAAGCCACGGCUAACUACGUGCCAGCCGCCGCAGUAA
rnacentral:rRNA from 1 species